rnacentral:rRNA from 1 species
GACGAACGCUGGCGGCGUGCUUAACACAUGCAAGUCGUACGGUAAGGCCCUUUCGGGGGUCCACGAGUGGCGAACGGGUGAGUAACACGUGAGUAACCUGCCCACAACUUUGGGAUAACGCUAGGAAACUGGUGCUAAUACUGGAUAUGUGCUCCUGCUGCAUGGUGGGGGUUGGAAAGCUCCGGCGGUUGUGGAUGGACUCGCGGCCUAUCAGCUUGUUGGUGGGGUAGUGGCCUACCAAGGCGGCGACGGGUAGCCGGCCUGAGAGGGUGACCGGCCACAUUGGGACUGAGAUACGGCCCAGACUCCUACGGGAGGCAGCAGUGGGGAAUAUUGCACAAUGGGCGCAAGCCUGAUGCAGCAACGCCGCGUGCGGGAUGACGGCCUUCGGGUUGUAAACCGCUUUCAGCAGGGACGAAGCUUUUUGCGACGGUACCUGCAGAAGAAGCACCGGCUAACUACGUG